AGGGAUAUAGCUCAGUUGGUAGAGUGCUUGCCUGGCAUGCAUAAGGCCCUGGGUUCAAUCCCCAGCACCUCAA
rnacentral:tRNA from 1 species